rnacentral:rRNA from 1 species
UACGAAGGGGACUAGCGUUGUUCGGAAUUACUGGGCGUAAAGCGCACGUAGGCGGAUUUGUAAGUCAGGGGUGAAAUCCCGGGGCUCAACCUCGGAACUGCCUUUGAUACUGCAAAUCUCGAGUCCGAUAGAGGUGGGUGGAAUUCCUAGUGUAGAGGUGAAAUUCAUAGAUAUUAGGAAGAACACCGGUGGCGAAGGCGGCCCACUGGAUCGGUACUGACGCUGAGGUGCGAAAGCGUGGGGAGCAAACAGG